GUCGUAAUUUAUGCAUCAGUCAAUUCUAGCGUUGCUCAUCCCCCCCCCCCGGGCAUUUGUACUCUUUUUUUGCCCGGGGGGGGCGGGCAUUGGUACUUGCAAAGUUGUCCCAGGGGCAGGGAAUUGUUUACUGGCUGGGCAUUUGACUCGACCGGACGUUUCUGUGACGAACACGUGCUAUCAAAUUAAAAUGGUGUCGAAGAAUUCGGGUGUAAAAACGAGGAUUUUGUCGAUAUUUUCAUUCACAAAACGUCACACCAAUCGCACUUGAGAAACUAAUUAAAGUUGUGUUUAACUAUCUAGCAUAAAAACACUAGAAUUCAUAGUACAAUCCUUGUUUUAUAUCUUGCUACGUGAUUGUAUAUUAACCACUGAACCGACGAGCAUGUUUUUCAUGUUCAAAAGUUAGGAUGACUGCUGUAGCUUUUAUACAAGGAAGCUAAUAAUGUUAUGGAAGUUUUGAGGUUUAAAAUACAUUCUCUAAAUGAGUCGGUGUGCCCUGGGGCC